CAUAGGCAGUCUAAUGUAUCUUAUGAGUUGCACUAGACCUGAUAUUGCUUUCACUGUAAGGAGUUUAAGCAGAUUUACAAGCAAUCCAGGAGAAAAACACUGGAAAACAAUUGUAAGGGUAUUGAAAUAUCUCAGAUAUACUCGAAACUAUGGAUUGCAUUAUUCUAUAGAUCCUGCUGUGUUAGAAGGAUUCUCUGAUGCCAGUUGGAUAUAUGAUAUUUAAUAUACCAAAGGCACA